GGCGUGCCUGGAGUUAAUACGUGUGGUUUUCCCAGGGUGAGGCUUAUCCAUUGCACUCCGGAUGUGCUGACCCCUGCGAUUUCCCCAAAUGUGGGAAACUCGACUGCAUAAUUUGUGGUAGUGGGGGACUGCGUUCGCGCUUUCCCCUGG